rnacentral:rRNA from 1 species
UAGGGAAUCUUCGGCAAUGGGGGGAACCCUGACCGAGCAACGCCGCGUGAGUGAAGAAGGUUUUCGGAUCGUAAAGCUCUGUUGUUAAGGAAGAACGAGUGUGAGAAUGGAAAGUUCAUACUGUGACGGUACUUAACCAGAAAGGGACGGCUAACUACGUGCCAGCAGCCGCGGUAAUACGUAGGUCCCGAGCGUUGUCCGGAUUUAUUGGGCGUAAAGCGAGCGCAGGCGGUUAGAAAAGUCUGAAGUGAAAGGCAGUGGCUCAACCAUUGUAGGCUUUGGAAACUGUUUAACUUGAGUGCAGAAGGGGAGAGUGGAAUUCCAUGUGUAGCGGUGAAAUGCGUAGGUAUAUGGAGGAACACCGGUGGCGAAAGCGGCUCUCUGGUCUGUAACUGACGCUGAGGCUCGAAAGCGUGGGGAGCGAACAGGAUUAGAUACCCUGGUAGUCCACGCCGUAAACGAUGAGUGCUAGGUGUUAGGUCCUUUCCGGGACUUAGUGCCGCAGCUAACGCAUUAAGCACUCCGCCUGGGGAGUACGACCGCAAGGUUG